UACGGGGGGGGCAAGCGUUGUUCGGAAUUACUGGGCGUAAAGGGCUCGUAGGCGGCCAACUAAGUCAGACGUGAAAUCCCUCGGCUUAACCGGGGAACUGCAUCUGAUACUGGAUGGCUUGAAUUCGGGAGAGGGAUGCGGAAUUCCAGGUGUAGCGGUGAAAUGCGUAGAUAUCUGGAGGAACACCGGUGGCGAAGGCGGCAUCCUGGACCGACAUUGACGCUGAUGAGCGAAAGCCAGGGGAGCAAACGGG
rnacentral:rRNA from 1 species